GCCCAGAUCGCUACAUGCUCUACAUGCAAGUCGAGCGGACAGAUGGGAGCUUGCUCCCUGAUGUUAGCGGCGGACGGGUGAGUAACACGUGGGUAACCUGCCUGUAAGACUGGGAUAACUCCGGGAAACCGGGGCUAAUACCGGAUGCUUGUUUGAACCGCAUGGUUCAAACAUAAAAGGUGGCUUCGGCUACCACUUACAGAUGGACCCGCGGCGCAUUAGCUAGUUGGUGAGGUAAUGGCUCACCAAGGCAACGAUGCGUAGCCGACCUGAGAGGGUGAUCGGCCACACUGGGACUGAGACACGGCCCAGACUCCUACGGGAGGCAGCAGUAGGGAAUCUUCCGCAAUGGACGAAAGUCUGACGGAGCAACGCCGCGUGAGUGAUGAAGGUUUUCGGAUCGUAAAGCUCUGUUGUUAGGGAAGAACAAGUACCGUUCGAAUAGGGCGGUACCUUGACGGUACCUAACCAGAAAGCCACGGCUAACUACGUGCCAGCAGCCGCGGUAAUACGUAGGUGGCAAGCGUUGUCCGGAAUUAUUGGGCGUAAAGGGCUCGCAGGCGGUUCCUUAAGUCUGAUGUGAAAGCCCCCGGCUCAACCGGGGAGGGUCAUUGGAAACUGGGGAACUUGAGUGCAGAAGAGGAGAGUGGAAUUCCACGUGUAGCGGUGAAAUGCGUAGAGAUGUGGAGGAACACCAGUGGCGAAGGCGACUCUCUGGUCUGUAACUGACGCUGAGGAGCGAAAGCGUGGGGAGCGAACAGGAUUAGAUACCCUGGUAGUCCACGCCGUAAACGAUGAGUGCUAAGUGUUAGGGGGUUUCCGCCCCUUAGUGCUGCAGCUAACGCAUUAAGCACUCCGCCUGGGGAGUACGGUCGCAAGACUGAAACUCAAAGGAAUUGACGGGGGCCCGCACAAGCGGUGGAGCAUGUGGUUUAAUUCGAAGCAACGCGAAGAACCUUACCAGGUCUUGACAUCCUCUGACAAUCCUAGAGAUAGGACGUCCCCUUCGGGGGCAGAGUGACAGGUGGUGCAUGGUUGUCGUCAGCUCGUGUCGUGAGAUGUUGGGUUAAGUCCCGCAACGAGCGCAACCCUUGAUCUUAGUUGCCAGCAUUCAGUUGGGCACUCUAAGGUGACUGCCGGUGACAACCGGAGGAAAGGUGGGGAUGACGUCAAAUCAUCAUGCCCCUUAUGACCGGGGCUACCACGUGCUACAUGGGACGAAACAAGGGCAGCGAAACCGCGAGGUUACCCAUCCCCCAAAUUUGUUUUCAUUUGGAAACCAACUUGCAACCCACCGGCGGAAACUGGA
rnacentral:rRNA from 1 species